rnacentral:lncRNA from 1 species
CGGUCUUAGGCUUCGCAUGUAGGCUUCUAAGGAAGAAGUCGUCGAGUUGCCACUCGCAGAACAACUACCAGGCGUCGAGGUCACGUCUGACGACGUCCAGGUGUUGCUUCUCGGCAGAGUACAUGUUAGAAAGGGGAUGAAGAUAUGCGUAAGAGGCGAUCACGAAGGCGCAGCGCAGAUGCUGCUAGAGCAAUUGUUAAAUGUCUUCUAGAAAUCAUGUCGCGGAGGCCCGAAACCAUCAACCUCCGCGAGGAAGGUGUGCGUUCGCAGCAAAACGUCAGAGAGCGCCGCCAGGGAAUUAUCACACCUGAGUAUUCAAACCUUAGAGAAGAGCACGAGGACCUUUCAGUUUGAUUUUCCUCUCAUUGCGCACGGGUUGGGGUUAAAUCCCACCGCCCUCGGAACCGGUCAUGCCGCUCCUGUGGCACUCAGGCCUUGACAUCCGUGGAUGCUGCGGUCGGACAAAAUAUGGUAAUUAAGAGCUCGUCUGGCAGUUGCAGGAGGAGGAAGCAGCCACGAUACGUGCACUAUGUAACGACUAACUGUCGUUGGUUGCGCACGAUCGAUUGUAGCCGUGGCUGCUCCAUUGACAUUCAUACACGCAGCUCAGAUGGGUGGUACGGGGGCGAGAAUUCUAUUCCGUUCCACGCUCUCUCGCAGUCAAGUCUCGCCUCAGGUUGCAAACGCGACGUUGAGCUCGAGCUGAGUGUCGCUACGUUGAUACCCUAACCCUAACCCUAACCCUAAUUGCAUUUUCACUAGUUUAAAACCUGGUAAUUAGUCCUGUGAGCAUGUUCACAAGAAUAGAAGAUUCAUAACCCUCGUACUUAGCUCGUUGAAAUAGUAAGGUUUAAAACGAAUCUGUAUGUGUGUAAAGAAGUUAAAUAACAUUGGAAAUUAAUUUAGACGAAUUUCAAAGUCAAUUACACUCAUAAAAUCAUGAAUAAUUAGAAAAAUGAAUUGUGUAAGUACUUUGAGAUGAUAAUAAUAAGGUAAAU